CGCUAGCGGCAGGCUUAACACAUGCAAGUCGAGGGGUAUGGUUCUUCGGAACCAGAGACCGGCGCACGGGUGCGUAACGCGUAUGCAAUCUACCUUUCACAGAGGGAUAGCCCAGAGAAAUUUGGAUUAAUACCUCAUAGUAUAUUGGUCUCGCAUGAGAUCAUUAUUAAAGAUUUAUCGGUGAAAGAUGAGCAUGCGUCCCAUUAGUUAGUUGGUAAGGUAACGGCUUACCAAGACUACGAUGGGUAGGGGUCCUGAGAGGGA
rnacentral:rRNA from 1 species